UAACCUUGACCUAAUUUAUGUGGUCAAAAGGUCACAUUCUUUCUGCACACUCUUUCAUUGAUUACAUGCUCAUAUGGUCGAGGGUACUUUAGCACUGCGCUGGAUUUUUAUAUUGAGA